UGGAGGUGUGGUGGACUUGGAAAAAUGGGUCCCCUCUGCCAGUCCUAAGGUUCUAAGCUGCCCUUUGGGAGAUAAAAACACCCCAAGCCCCAGACCCUGGGCAGAGGAAGGCAUUGGGGCUGUAGAACAGGACUGCCAUCUCCGGUUCCAGGAAGGAGAGCUUGCUUGGAAUAAAGACAUGCAAGAUGGAAGCCCAGAAGCCUGAGGAGCAGGAAGUGUUUAUUGAGCACCUACUAUGUGUUAGUGGCAGAGAAGAGAGAAGCUGUUGGACUGUGUUUGUGGAGUGGCCAUGCCUUCUGGGUGAGAGUAGGAUGGUCUGGAAGCAUGCACACAGUCAGGUCUCCUGAAGACAAAGUUUCCUGGUUCGUCCUGUGGAUGAACCCCCCCCCCCCCCAAUCCAUCCUCUCUAAACCACCCUCUUCCUCUGCAUUCCACCCUUAGGACUUUGCUUGGUGUCCCCAAGCCUGGUGGCUCCCCAGAAGUAUCUGUGGGACUCAAAGAAACUACAGAGUCUUGGAUCCCAACUUUGGCAAUUUGGCUGUGGGGAUGGGGCCCAGGGCCUGGGAUUCUGUAUUUCAGCAGUUCCCUCUGGGGCUCAGCAGGGGUGGGAGCCCAGGUGGUGGACACGUGUCCCCAGGGGGCCUCCCCUGGGGCUCCCGCUGCUGUCACAGCCACACACGUCCUUCUGCAAACACAUACAGCCCAUGAUUGAUUCUCUGCCGUUCCCCUCACAGCCCAGCGGGUCUGAUUGAAUGGCCGACGUGCUGCCCAAACACCCCGCUGGAACCACUUCCCUGCCCUCUGCCCCGGAAGUCGUUUGUUUGUUUUUAGACGCAGCCUUUAUGUCCAGCUGAAUGGCCAGCGGGCUCCUCAGAGCCGCCCAUCAGAGCUGAAGAUCGUCUGGGGCUGGAGCUGGAGCUGGAGCUGGCAGUGGUCCUGUGGUCACUCUGGGGACUCCGGGAAGGACAGCCGUGCUUCCUGGGAGAGGCGACUCUAGACUCACCCAGGCCUGUGCCCCAUGUGAAGACACACAAGGGCGGGAGGGGUGUGCAUUGCAGCACUUGAAGGGCCAUCUCUCCCUUUCCUUAACUGCUGUGAAACACUGGAGCCAAGCUCCUGCAUUCUAGCACCUUCGGUUCUGGUCUUUAGGAAUGAACCCAUGGGCAACCUCUGCUGUGAAAAGGACAGGCUCUGCAGUUCAAUAGACUUAGGCUUGAAUCCCAGGGCCAACCCUCCUGCCUGUGCCUCAGCUUCUUUAUCUACUUGGUGGGGAUGA